UAAAACAAUAAGGUGGUGGCGCUCCCGGCCGACGAGUGAAGCUUGGUGGCGCUGACAGCUAUUAGGCUGACGUCAUUUCACGAGAUCGACAGUGGCGCCACCGUGUCCAAUUCCAGAUAAGAAGAGGCUAUUGAAAAGCUCUAGGAGUCUGAUAUUCAUAAAACGGCGAUCGUCCGCACAUUAACCAGAUAUGAACGAUAACUCUCGUCCUACGGCAGGAAAACUUUUUUUUUAAUAUAUAUAUAUAUAUGAAGGAAUACAUUAAUUAAGGGAUGUUAAAAUUGUAUAAAGGGUACAGAUUUAGAAUAUAAAUUUCCAGUUAAUCUCGACUUUCAGCGCCAAAAAAACACGAACUUUUAUCUAUUACGUCACGAACUUUGCACCCGAAAAUGAAAAUCAAAGCUUAAUGAAUACGGGUAAGUUGCUAAUCAUAAUUUCCAAAUUUUAAUUCGUACACGAAUUUAUUCACUAAUCCCGCAUUUAAAACAAAAAAAUACGGAAUUAAGCACCGAAUUCACCACGAAAUUACUACCAUUAAAACACUUAAUCUCGUGUUACCGAAUGCUUAAUUCUUCUUUCACAAUUCAAUACACUGACGUGGCAAUUAAAAUGAAAUUAUCAUACAAAUAAUCCCAAGAUAGGCCAAUUACCAUAUAUAUAUAUAUAUAUAUAAAGUAAAGUAAAAGCUUUUAUUUUAUUUUUAUAUUAUAAUUGCUCUAUCUCGAAACCAUGCGGGAACAAUUUCAACGCGAUCGUAAAUCAAUAAAAACCGAUUUAACAAAGCGAAAUUUUCUAAGAAAAUUAGCAGGAAAAACGAACGGGUUUAUUUUAUACGAUAUAUAAAAAAAUAAAAUUUGUAAUUUUAUUAUCGUAUAAACGAUCGAUCCGAACGAAUAAGAAAAGAUAACGAUCUAAAUCGAGUGGAAUUACCGAUGUACUAUAAAUAAUUGAUACAAGAAAAACUUAUAAGAAAGAUGGCUAAACUGAAAAAUCAGUCACAGAGUCACCGUACAGUACAAUGGAUACUUAUUACAAUCGACAAUCGCUCAAUGGCCUGUGACUGUCGUAAGAUGUGAACUCGGAUAACCUUCCCGACUAAACAAUCGAGCUCAUUACAAAGAUAUUUUUAAACCUAGUGAUGCUUUCCCACGAAUAUUCCAACGUCAAACAAACCCAUACACA